GCCGCGGUGGUGAAAUUGGUAGACACAGGAGACUCAAAAUCUCCCGCCGCAAGGUGUGUCAGUUCGAGUCUGACCCGCGGCACCA
rnacentral:tRNA from 1 species